rnacentral:lncRNA from 1 species
AAAAUGGCUUAAAAUUCCUUCUUUAGAAUGGGACGACAAUGCUUAUUAUUUGAAAAUGAAGCUGUUUAUCAAAACUCUAAAAGUGACUAAUGACGCGGCUGAGAGAGGAAUUAAGUUGUGUUCCGAUUAUCUCCAAAUACUUACAAAGGACGAGGCUGUACGAAACGAAGUUUUUAACGUGGUUGAAAAUCACAGAAAAGUUGUAGACAAUUGUAAUAAGAAGCAAUUAUUCGUUGAUUUAGCUGAGUAUAAAUAAUAACCGCUUUUUUAUUA